rnacentral:SRP_RNA from 1 species
GCCAGGCGCGGUGGCGCGUGCCUGUAGUCCCAGCUACUCAGGAGGCUGAGGUGGGAGGAUCGCUUGAGCCUAGGAGUUCUGGGCUGUAGUGCGCUAAGCUGAUCGGGUGUCUGCACUAAGUUCGGCAUCAAUAUGGUGACCUCCUGGGAGCAGGGGACCACCAGGUUGCCUAAGGAGGGGUGAAUCGGCCCAGGUCGGAAACGGAGCAGGUCAAAACUCCCGUGCUGAUCAGUAGGGGGAUCGUGCCUGUGAAUAGACACUGCACCCCAGCCUGGGCAACAUAGCGAGACCCUGUCUCU